UAUGGUCUAUAUUUUGUUAAGCUGGAUAAUGAAUUAAUUUUUUUCUGGACUUAAUAUUUGAAUCAGACUUAAAACCUGGAGUUUUACUAAUAAGUACUCAACUACUAAUGUUUUUUUUUUUUUUGCACAUUUUCCAGAUAAUUCAAUUUCCAGCUUCUCUUAUUACAUUAGUUCAUCAUAUUGUCACCAACUGCAUGAAGUAACCAUGAAGUAACAGGUUUUGACCACGGAAACAGAUAGCAGUAGAUCCAGCUGUUCCUGUCCUCUUUAUUAAGGUCACUAAAUAAGAAGCUAUUUGGUACUGCCAAGAGCACUUCCAGAAGGGAUAUAUUUUGCUCCUUCAGCACUGCUGUGCUUCUCAGCAAAUUUUAAUAAGUCACUAUUGAAGGGUAUACGCUGAAAACAUUGUGAUCUUCCUGGACAACAAGAAUAUUACCUGUGAUUCCUUGCAGUCUGGGGACCUGGAAGGGGAUUGAGCACCCCAGAAAAGGGUGCAAAGGUUGAAGCCCUCAAGGUAAUGAGCCACGGGCUGGGGAAGCAAUGCACGAAGGAGCAAAAAUGCCUAGGUGUGUCAGGCCCG
ensembl:lncRNA